CAUCACGUUGAAUGACCGCUUCCCGUAUGAUCGCCGGAGUUAAGCAACAUCGAGCCUGGUCAAUACCUAGAUGGGUGACCGCUUAGGAAUACUACGUGUUGUAAG